CUCGGUUCUGGCACGACCCGCGGUCAGCGUCAGCCCCCAGCUCCGGGGCUCAGGCCCACGAGGCCACCCCCACUUUGGAUGCCGAUCACAAGGAGCGGGUCCUCAGGGGACCCCCAACUCCUACCUGACUUGGCUGCAACCCGGAGGUGCCCAUGACCCCCACCCCACCCCGGGAUUCCAUCAUUUGCUGGAACAGCUCCCAGAUUGUGAACAGUUACCGGUUUCUUACAUGAUAAAGAUGUGACAGAGGACACACAUGAACAGCCAGGUCGAGAGGCCCGUGGACGAGGUCUGGGAGGGUCCUGAGCACGAGAGCUUUGUCCCUGUGGACUUGGGGGGCGCCCUCCCUGCACAGGGAGGCCAGAACCCCCCACUAUUGGGGUUCCCGUGCAGGCUUUGUCAACCUGCCCCUCAGCGGACGGGGGCGGGACUGAAAAUUCUAGCCUUCUGGUCCAGGCUUCCUCUUUCCGGUGCCCAGCGCCCACCCGGGAGCCCACCCAGUCGCCGGCCUAGAACAAGGCCCGCUCCUGUCACCGGGAAGUUCCCACCCUUGUUGGAGCUCUGUCACACACUGGCCACUCAGGGACUUCAGAGGUCUGCUGCGCUGGGAAGUGGGGGCACAGAGCAACACGGGGGCAGAGAGGCAGAGGGAAGGUCCCCGAAGGGAUGUUCUCGAGGGAAAACCUGCUCUGCCGUGGAUCUCCAGGACGAGGCCCUGAACUGUGCACACAAUGCUGCUUGUUGUACCAGGCAGAACGUCAGGGGCUGUGGAGAAAGCGGUAGGAGCUGGCCCUACGAGGCACGGACAGGAUUUUAUUUCCGUAACUGUUACUUGUGGGGAACAAGGGUUCCCCAGGCCUCGUGGAGCUUGGACCCGGAGCGCCGGGCACAGGCAGAGGCAAGUGUCCCGUCCCAGCCUGUCCCGGGUCACAUGGGACCACACGGGCAGCGGGGGGCAUGGCCCAGGCCCCCCGAGACUGUAGCACGGACACGUGGAUCCUCAGUCAGGCGUCGGGAGGUAUGUUGGCUAUGAGUGUAUUGGUCAGGGUUCUCCCAAGACACAGAGCCGGUAG
rnacentral:lncRNA from 1 species